GCCCUAAUGCGACCUUUUUUAUGUUUCCAAUUGGUGAUGUUUCCGAUCCAUUUAACUUGUCUGUCUAUUCCACUUGCGAUAAUCUUGCAUGCUGAUAUUUUGGUUUUAAUAGACAAGUCAAUAGCUCCCAAUCCUCCUAAUUCCCUACUUUUAUAUGGGUUCCCGUUUCAUAACUUCUUCCAUUGUAUUUCAUCUAAAAGUAUUAAAUUAAAGUUUAUUGAACUUUUUAACCCACUUGAGAACAUUAUUUGAGAUAAAAUAAAAGAUUUCAUUAUAUUUAUAGCUCAAAUUAUGCAAUUUCCAUUUAUCUAUAUCCUCUUUGAUUGUUUCUUCUUUUUGGGUCCAAUUAUGAUCGACACAUCCUUCAUUCUUUAUUUAUGAGUCCUAGAACUUUUAAAUGUUGGGUUUCAGGAAUAUAAACCUAAACAUUUUUUUUGAGGUUUUUCCAAUCCAAUGUAAACCUUCAUUAAACACCUGUGAUAAUAAUUUAGAUAGGUCUAGAGAAUAGGGAUGUCACAAUACCAAAAAUCCAGUAGUCGGUAACGAUACCACGGUGUGGUUUAAAAAAUAAAAAGUGAUCUUCAGACUGGCAAAUAAAACAUCUAGCGACUAGUCUUCGAUAAAUAUUCUACCUAUUAUACGGGCCGAGAGAGAUUCUCUUUGGAAUGUUAACAUAUUGGCCAUUUACAUUUUUUUUUUAAUUUAACUUGAUACCGAUGGACUCCGUACCAAAGACCAAAUUGAUCUACUGGUUUUUCGACAGGUUUUAAAAUGUCUCAGUAAUGUUUAAUAUAAAGUUCAACAUCUUCAUCCAUAAUUCGGCCGGUCCAAAAUGUGAUGACAAUCGUCUUGAUGUCCAUAUUGAUGGGGGACAAAAGUCUUUCCAACUGUCUUCGUUGGUAUUAAAUAGCUCUAAAAAGACAAUCAGAGCAUGUUCACUGUUAGAACAAAGCUGCAAACUCUUUCCGGUUUGGUAAGCUGAUGAAUGAAUGUUUCCACAUGCAACCAGCUAGACUGCAAGAGGAGCUCUCCAUCUCGGUCUCGAUUACAGUAGGUGGUAUUUCGACUUUUUAACUCUAUUAAUUUUUGCCUGUAUACCUCCAACAUUGCAUGGAGCAACAGUUAAAUCUGAAAACGACAUAAUAUUUUAAAGCAGGCAUACAUAUGACACAUUACUUCUCCAUUCUUUCCACCCUGGCUAUUCCUCGCUUGUAUGGGUGAUGGGUCUUCCAGCAGGAGUUAGGGAAUCCUCGCUGAAGUUACUCCCAGAUGCUUCAUCAGAAGGGUUGUCCUCUUUGUCUGAUAUUCCCGAAACACUGUCUUCACUGUCGGACAAAGAGUUUACUUAUUUCCCAUGAUCCUGUUUUGAAUUUACAGUGGAUUCCACAGUGUCUAGCUUAUCUUUGUUGUUGAUGAUGGUUGAUCCUUCAGUUUUUUCAAUAUCCUGCUCUUCAUCUUUAUUUCUUUUUUGGGAUUGGCCUGGCAAAACUGAUGAUGUUUGACUAAUGUUUCUCUUAAAACGGUUAGCGUAUGAUCUUGGGCAGGAAAAAAAAAGUGUGACCCAGCUCUGCACACAGUGCAGGAGGCGGUGUUGGUGCAUUCUUUCGAUUUGUGGCCACACUGCCAGCAUUUCAGUAGGCCACAAUCCUCUGCAUGAGUCUCUUCUGAAUUGCAUACAAAUCAUUCUCAUUUUUAAAGAACAUACCCUCAUCACUUGACAUGGAAAGGUUUUUUUCCCUUUUCUUUUACAUUGGAAUUAUAUAUCCAGAUAUCUGUACAGCUGCUUUGUGACAAUGUCCAUUCUUAAACACGCUAGGUUCACAAACGAAGAAACAAACCAAAUGAAAAGGUUAGAUUCACCAAUGAUUCAAUACAGCUCGGUUCAAAUGAAUACAGAGGCCAGCUCAGACACCACAACUUUUGAAAACUCACGGCGUCAUAAAGGGGGAAAUCAUCAAUCAUACCAUCAGGAUAGUUCUAGAACUCGGAACGCUGCUCGGAUCUCACUAUACGUGUGUGCACGCUGGCCAGACAGACGGUAUGUAGACAGCACCACAACACAUUUAAAACAUAAUCAUACAUCAUGGUAUAAUGUUAAAGUUCACACCUUGAUUUCUAUCAUAAUAACAUAACAAUAAUAGGGAAGAACAUUACCUUUAUCUUUGUAAUGGAAACAAUAAUGAUCAUGAACGGGUUAAAAAGGGGACACAGUAAUAUGAACCAUGUUAUAUUUCUCAUCCCACUCGGGCCUAACUACAAAUGUACACUUAUGAUAGAAUACCGCUGUUGGGAAACUGCCGUUCCCGAGGUUGGGCACACGAGGGCAGUCAAGCUCCAUCCAGCGCAACACAGAAUUUUAUGGAGAUAUUAGAGAUCCCGAUCCUCUCUGCUCUCCGGACCUGCCUGAUCCGUUUCGGAUGUCACACCUCUGGAUGGAGCCCUCAUCUACUCUAAUUCCAGACUGCUGGGACUACGGCUGCUCCUAACGCCAUACAGACUUCAUAUAAAUCCAUAAUGAACUUUUUCACAUUGAUUGUUGUUACCCAGAUGAGGAUGGGUUCCCUUCUGAGUCGGGUUCCUCUCAAGGUUUCUUCCUCUUAAAACAUCUUAGGGAGUUUUUCCUUGCCACCGUCGCCACUCAGUGUCUUGCUCAGUUGGGAUAAAUUCGCACCUUUAAUAUCUGUAUACCAUGUUGAUAUUUCUAUAAAGCUGCUUUGAGACAAUGUCUAUUGUAAAAAGCGCUAUACAAAUAAAAUUGAAUUGAAUUGAACUCUGACGACGAUCCGACGUCAUAACCGAUCUUAUGGCUCGCUGCUCCGAUUUCACUAUAUCUGUCUGUCUGUGUAUGUGUGUGCACGGCAACAUAGUUUAAACAAUAAUAAUACAUUCACAUUUUAUCAUGUACAUAGCAGUAUAUUCAUCAACAUCAUAAAGUACACACAUUCUUUUCUAAUAUAAUUUUAACAUUGUAAUCUUCUUCCCUAGUUCUGGAUCUUCUCGAGUGAAACAGAUGAGGCCACCUACGGAACGCAUUAAGUGACAUAGGAGCAGCGAUGAGAAUAGAAAUUAAUUUCUAAUGUUUAUGAAAUUUCAAAGAUUAAGAUUUCUUACCACAAAUACCGCUUCUGGGGAAAUUGCAGUUCCCGAGGGUGGACACACGAGGGCAGUCAAGCUCCACCCAACACAAGAUACAACGCCGCCCGG